rnacentral:rRNA from 1 species
GUGGGGAAUUUUGGACAAUGGGCGCAAGCCUGAUCCAGCAAUGCCGCGUGCAGGAAGAAGGCCUUCGGGUUGUAAACUGCUUUUGUACGGAACGAAACGGUCCGGGUUAAUACCCUGGGCUAAUGACGGUACCGUAAGAAUAAGCACCGGCUAACUACGUGCCAGCAGCCGCGGUAAUACGUAGGGUGCAAGCGUUAAUCGGAAUUACUGGGCGUAAAGCGUGCGCAGGCGGUUUUGUAAGACAGGCGUGAAAUCCCCGGGCUCAACCUGGGAAUUGCGCUUGUGACUGCAAGGCUGGAGUGCGGCAGAGGAGGAUGGAAUUCCGCGUGUAGCAGUGAAAUGCGUAGAUAUGCGGAGGAACACCGAUGGCGAAGGCAAUCCCCUGGGCCUGCACUGACGCUCAUGCACGAAAGCGUGGGGAGCAAACAGGAUUAGAUACCCUAGUAGUCC